rnacentral:misc_RNA from 1 species
AACGCAUAUUGCGCUCGAGGCUUCGGCCAAGAGCAUGUCUGCCUCAGCGUCGGGUUAAUACUCGCUCUCACUUCCACUAUGGAAUGGGAACGGAUCUGGCUGUCUCGGCAGUUAUUAACUACUGCCGGGUCAGCUGAAGUGCAGAGGUUGAUGCAUGGACCCGCUACAUGGGCCUCUACUGGGUAGGCAAUUAACUUGCUAAUGCUUUAGUAGAUGGCUUGGGACUGUGCCUGUCGGCCCAAACCAGGAACUCAGAGUUUCUCUGAGCAAACCCACUUAUUUUCUCGACCUGAGCUCAGGCAAGAUUACCCGCUGAACUUAA